ACCUGCCUGCCACCUGAGAGCCUCAAGGCCUUGCAGCUCUACUCAUCAUUGUUAAUCAUGAAAAGGGAGAGAGGGACAGGGUGGGCUGGGGUGGUGGGGGCUGGCGGCCUGGGGCUCGGACUCCGGCUUCCUCUCCUUCCUUGUGACCUCCUAGACACUCUUGGUUUCCUUAUAAUCGCCAGCCCUGGACGUGCACAAUGGCCUCUGGGAUAGACCUGGACUUGGGGUGCUUCUUCCCCAUGCUCCUGCACCCCUGGGCCGUGCCACCAUUGCCUCUGGCUGCCUCUGCCCUCCUCCCAGGAGUCUGGUCUCAAAUGGCAGCCAGAGGGAGCUUGUUAAAUCCUCCAUCACGGCAUGCCGUUCCUUUGCUCAAGCCUCCAGGGGCACCAUCUCACCUGGGGAAAAGCUAAAGCUGUCACGUCGGCUGCCAGGGCUACUGAGCAGGCCCUGCCACCUCUCUGCUUCCCUCCCACUCUGCUCAGGCACUCG
rnacentral:lncRNA from 1 species